AUUGAACGCUGGCGGCAUGCCUUACACAUGCAAGUCGAACGGCAGCACGGGUGCUUGCACCUGGUGGCGAGUGGCGAACGGGUGAGUAAUAUAUCGGAACGUACCAUAUUGUGGGGGAUAACGCAGCGAAAGCUGUGCUAAUACCGCAUAAUCCCUAGGGGGGAAAGCGGGGGACCGUAAGGCCUCGCGCAAUUAGAGCGGCCGAUACCUGAUUAGCUAGUUGGUGAGGUAAAGGCUCACCAAGGCAACGAUCAGUAGCUGGUCUGAGAGGACGAUCAGCCACACUGGGACUGAGACACGGCCCAGACUCCUACGGGAGGCAGCAGUGGGGAAUUUUGGACAAUGGGGGCAACCCUGAUCCAGCAAUGCCGCGUGAGUGAAGAAGGCCUUCGGGUUGUAAAGCUCUUUUGUCAGGGAAGAAACAGCAGCUCUAACACAGUAUGCGAAUGACGGUACCUGAAGAAUAAGCACCGGCUAACUACGUGCCAGCAGCCGCCGUAA
rnacentral:rRNA from 1 species